UAUUAUAAUUAAUUUUAAUUAAUUACUUGGGUAGUAGUAGAAAGUUCUUGAAACCUAAAGAAUUUGGCGGUGUUUUAGUCUUUUCAGAGGAAUCUGUCUUGUAAUUGAUGAUACACAAUUUGUUAUACUUAAUUUUGUUAUUAGUUUAUAUACCGCCGUCAUAAGAUUAUUUUUAUUAAGAAGUUAAAUUUUCUUGUUUUUCAAUUAUAAAGUAUGUCAGGUCAAGGUGUAGCUUAUAAUUAAGUAAGGAUGGAUUACAAUAAUAUUAAUUAUUAUGAAUAAUUAUUUUAGGUUAAUUUGAAGGUGGAUUUGAUUGUAAAUUUAUUUUUGAUUUUUAUGUUGAUUGGAGCUCUAGAAUGUGUACAUAUCGCCCGUCGCUCUCAUUAGUUAAGGUGAG
rnacentral:rRNA from 1 species